AACGCGAAGAACCUUACCUGGGCUCGAACGGCUUAAGCACAACUGUGGAAACACGGUCUUCCCGCAAGGGACUUGAGUCGAGGUGCUGCAUGGCUGUCGUCAGCUCGUGUCGUGAGAUGUUGGGUUAAGUCCCGCAACGAGCGCAACCCUUGUCCUGUGUUGCCACUCCCGCAAGGGAAGCACUCUCAGGAGACCGCCAGCGAUAAGUUGGAGGAAGGUGGGGAUGAUGUCAAGUCAUCAUGGCCUUUAUGUCCAGGGCUACACACGUGCUACAAUGGGCGGUACAAAGCGCUGCAAACCCGCGAGGGGGAGCUAAUCGCAAAAAACCGUCCUCAGUUCGGAUCGCAGGCUGCAACUCGCCUGCGUGAAGCUGGAAUCGCUAGUAAUGGCGUAUCAGAACGACGCCGUGAAUACGUUCCCGGGCCUUGUA
rnacentral:rRNA from 1 species